rnacentral:rRNA from 1 species
GGCGUGCCUAAUACAUGCAAGUCGAGCGAACAGACGAGGAGCUUGCUCCUCUGACGUUAGCGGCGGACGGGUGAGUAACACGUGGAUAACCUACCUAUAAGACUGGGAUAACUUCGGGAAACCGGAGCUAAUACCGGAUAAUAUAUUGAACCGCAUGGUUCAAUAGUGAAAGACGGUUUUGCUGUCACUUAUAGAUGGAUCCGCGCCGCAUUAGCUAGUUGGUAAGGUAACGGCUUACCAAGGCAACGAUGCGUAGCCGACCUGAGAGGGUGAUCGGCCACACUGGAACUGAGACACGGUCCAGGCUCCUACGGGAGGCAGCAGUAGGGAAUCUUCCGCAAUGGGCGAAAGCCUGACGGAGCAACGCCGCGUGAGUGAUGAAGGUCUUCGGAUCGUAAAACUCUGUUAUUAGGGAAGAACAAAUGUGUAAGUAACUAUGCACGUCUUGACGGUACCUAAUCAGAAAGCCACGGCUAACUACGUGCCAGCAGCCGCGGUAAUACGUAGGUGGCAAGCGUUAUCCGGAAUUAUUGGGCGUAAAGCGCGCGUAGGCGGUUUUUUAAGUCUGAUGUGAAAGCCCACGGCUCAACCGUGGAGGGUCAUUGGAAACUGGAAAACUUGAGUGCAGAAGAGGAAAGUGGAAUUCCAUGUGUAGCGGUGAAAUGCGCAGAGAUAUGGAGGAACACCAGUGGCGAAGGCGACUUUCUGGUCUGUAACUGACGCUGAUGUGC